GAUGAACGCUAGCGGCAGGCUUAAUACAUGCAAGUCGAGGGACAGCACAGGUAGCAAUACUGGGUGGUAACCGGCAAACGGGUGCGGAACACGUACACAACCUUCCUUUAAGUGGGGGAUAGCCCAGAGAAAUUUGGAUUAAUACCCCGUAAUAUAGUUGAAUGGCAUCAUUUGAUUAUUAUAGCUACGGCGCUUAAUGAUGGGUGUGCGGCUGAUUAGAUAGUUGGCGGGGUAACGGCCCACCAAGUCUACGAUCAGUAGCUGAUGUGAGAGCAUGAUCAGCCAAACGGGCAAUGGGACACGGGCCCGACUCCUACGGGAGGCAGCAGUAAGGGAUAUUGGUCAAUGGACGCAAGUCUGAACCAGCCAUGCCGCGUGAAGGAUUAAGGUCCUCUGGAUUGUAAACUUCUUUUAUUUGGGACGAAAAAGGGCCUUUCUAGGUCAACUGACGGUACCAGAUGAAUAAGCACCGGCUAACUCCGUGCCAGCCGCCGCCGUAAUAC
rnacentral:rRNA from 1 species